CACUCAUGCGAUGAGGUUGCUAAAUAUGCUUUGGACUUUACGCUACAAUCUAAAUUGAGAGAUGGAAAAGAAGUGGCUCUCCACAGCUUGUCCUUGGGAGCUAGGCAAGAUGCAACUGUUCCAAUAGGCUCUAUAAAGAAUCUGGGAGGGGGCAGGGUGAUCUUUCCAUUCCCCAAACCAGGAAGAGCUUUGCUUCUCAGAACUGCUUGGCUGUUGUCUUGUGACUCCCUGAAUAUUUGAGAGUCCAGAAGCAGGCACAGAUCCCCUGGGACCGGAGUUAUAGGUGUUUGAGAGCUGCCAUGUUGAUGCUGGGAAGAAAACCCAGGUGCUCUGUAAGAGCAACCAGAGCUCUUUACUGCUGAGCCAUCUCUCCAGCCCAGUUGAUCAAGACUUUUGAGAAACUGACAGCACUAUAUGUAUGAAGACUGUGGAGUAACUGGAAGUGUCCCAUAUUAGUGGUGACACAUGGGAACGGACGGUUAAGAAUUAUAAUUCAAGGAGCUAGACAAAGUACCCAAGGAGCUAAAGGGGUCUGCAACCCUAUAGGUGGAACAAUAAUAUGAACUAACCAGUACCCCCGGAGCUCGUGUCUCUAGCUGCAUAUGUAUCAGAAGAUGGCCUAUUCGGCCAUCACUGGGAAAAGAGGCCCCUUGGUCUUGCAAACUUUAUAUGCCUCAGUACAGAGGAACGCCAGGGCCAAGAAGUGGGAG
rnacentral:lncRNA from 1 species